rnacentral:rRNA from 1 species
GUGAGGAAUAUUGGUCAAUGGGCGCUAGCCUGAACCAGCCAUGCCGCGUGCAGGAAGACGGCCCUACGGGUUGUAAAACUGCUUUUCUGCAGGAAGAAUAUAUAGUCUUAGGGGUAAUAAUUGACGGUACUGCAGGAAUAAGCAUCGGCUAACUCCGUGCCAGCAGCCGCGGUAAUACGGAGGAUGCAAGCGUUAUCCGGAUUCAUUGGGUUUAAAGGGUGCGCAGGCUGUAAGGCAAGUCAGUGGUGAAAGCCCUGGGCUUAACUCAGGGAUUGCCAUUGAAACUGUUUUACUAGAGUGUAGUAGAGGACGGCGGAAUGAGUUGUGUAGCGGUGAAAUGCAUAGACAUAACUCAGAACACCUAUUGCGUAGGCAGCUGUCUAUACUACAACUGACGCUGAGGCACGAAAGCGUGGGGAGCGAACAGGAUUAGAUACCCUGGUAGUCCACGCUGUAAACGAUGAUCACUCGUUGUUGGCUACUUAGUAGUCAGUGACCAAGGGAAACCGAUAAGUGAUCCACCUGGGGAGUACGUCGGCAACGAUGAAACUCAAAGGAAUUGACGGGGGCCCGCACAAGCGGAGGAACAUGUGGUUUAAUUCGAUGAUACGCGAGGAACCUUACCUGGGCUUAAAUGCUGGCUGCAUUGGAGGGAAACCUUCAUUUCCUACGGGACCGCCAGCAAGGUGCUGCAUGGUUGUCGUCAGCUCGUGCCGUGAGGUGUCGGGUUAAGUCCCAUAACGAGCGCAACCCCUAUCGCUAGUUGCCAGCAUGUAAUGGUGGGGACUCUAGCGAGACUGCCGGUGUAAACCGGAGGAAGGUGGGGAUGACGUCAAAUCAGCACGGCCCUUACGUCCAGGGCUACACACGUGUUACAAUGGCCGGUACAAAGAGCAGCCACCUGGCGACAGGGCGCUAAUCUCUAAAACCGGUCUCAGUUCGGAUCGAAGUCUGCAAUUCGACUUCGUGAAGGUGGAUUCGCUAGUAAUCGCGCAUCAGCCAUGGCGCGGUGAAUAAGUUCCCGGGCCUUGUACACACCGCCCGUCAAGCCAUGGAAGU